AAAUUUGCUGUGUCAUUCCUGCUUCUUGCUCAUUCACACUUUCCUCUAGUUGGCAUCUGAUCAACAAACCCAAAGUCAGGAGCUUCUUCUCUUCCUCAUUGGACCUGCAUAUAUUUGAAGUAUUAUAUGAGCUUAUCUACAAGUAUCGAACUGUUUCCGAGAUAAUUCACAAUGGCUGCUUAAAUAACAGUGCAGAAGUUAUUUGGAACUUUUCUUUUUCUUGAGAGGUGCGACCUCAACACCUUGACCUACCCACUUGAUAUUGGCAAUGAGGCAAUUGCUUGUAAAACCACAAUAUUUGAGUGCGGUGCGACCUCAACAAAAUGUGAGACAAGCAUCAUGUUCUCUCAGAUUGAAGUUGCGGGAGCUGU
rnacentral:lncRNA from 1 species